AAUGAAUUGCCUGACAAAAAGGACUACCUUGAUAGGGUAAAUCAUGUAGAUUACUACAUUCAUUA
rnacentral:tRNA from 1 species